UUGAAAGGGAAACGAUUGAAGUCAGUCAUGCCAGUGGGAAUCAACUUAGGGGAAACUCUAGGUGCACUUCUUCGCUUGGCAGGUCAACGUCGAUUUUGAAUGUCAUAAAAUAAUUAGGGGAAGGUAGCUUCUUCGGGAGUGUUAUAGCCCUUGAUAGAUGUGAUGUUUGGGGUCGAGGAUUGCAACGGAUACCUCUGGGGCUAGCCGCCUGAUCUCUAAUCGGUGUUGGGUUACGGAUAGCAUGCUGACCGUUUUCUAAUUACUGGUUAAAAGGUUAGAGCGUGCAUAAAUUCGUUAAGGAUGUUGACGUA
rnacentral:rRNA from 1 species